CAAUGAAAAGCCAAAAAGAGGCAUUUAACUGUUAAUUAAAUCAUUGUAUUUUUCUACUUCAUUGG
rnacentral:tRNA from 1 species